GAUGAACGCUGGCGGCGUGCCUAAUACAUGCAAGUCGAGCGAACGGACGAGAAGCUUUCUUCUCUGCUGUUAGCGGCGGACGGGUGAGUAACACGUGGAUAACCUACCUAUAAGACUGGGAUAACUUCGGGAAACCGCAUCUACUACCGGAUAAUAUUUUGAACCGCAUGGUUCAAAAGUGAAAGACGCUCUUCCCGUCACUUAUAGAUGGAUCCGCGCUGCAUUAGCUAGUUGGUAAGGUAACGGCAUACCAAGGCAACGAUGCAUAGCCGACCUGAGAGGGUGAUCGGCCACACUGGAACUGAGACACGGUCCAGACUCCUACGGGAGGCAGCAGUAGGGAAUCUUCCGCAAUGGGCGAAAGCCUGACGGAGCAACGCCGCGUGAGUGAUGAAGGUCUUCGGAUCGUAAAACUCUGUUAUUAGGGAAGAACAUAUGUGUAAGUAACUGUGCACAUCUUGACGGUACCUAAUCAGAAAGCCACGGCUAACUACGUG
rnacentral:rRNA from 1 species